rnacentral:lncRNA from 1 species
AAUGUGCAGCAAAAUUUCUUUUUUUUUUUAAGCGGCGAAGAUCUAGAAUCCAUCAAAUAUACGCUAUUUAAAUGGAAUAAAAACAUCAUAAACACUAUUUAUCCAAAAAUCCAACGUUUAAAUCAACAGUAACCAAAGAUAUACCAAUUUAAGUAUUAGAACCACACCGUAAUGGCGACCAAUUAACAACUGUAAGCUGCACACACAUUCUAGACUUCGCCGCAUCCCAUAGUCCAAAGCCUUGGAAUAUUGUAGAGCAUCCUAAGGCAAAUUGUUGAAGGCCUUACCUAUAUUUACAUAACAUAUCAACAGGACACCAGUAACUUGGCUUCGUUUCAAACAGCCUUCCAGACACUUAAGAUGUUGUAGUGCUAAGAGAAUUUCACCCUAAAUAGACCUGUCUUCGUGGGAAUACCAGUUUGGAAGAUAAAAUAAGCGUUUAGUUUAUUCUUUUUGUUGUUACAGUAAAGUCAAGUUGCUUCUCAUUCAUAACUAUAAUAUAGUAACCUGUAAACUUUUUGUGUGCAAAUAAUUAGGUACAUUUUUGACUAGUUUUUUAUAAUUAAUAGGGGGAUGCUAGUGUUUGUUUUUCUUUAAAUAAAAUAGGAUUUCACAUAAGUAUUAAAUAGAUAAUGGAUAAUAAUAAUUGAGAAUAAAUCAAGUUUUUAAAAUUUAACAGAGAAGAGAAAUAAGGGUAUAAAAGGGUUGUCAACAAGUGUAAUUUUAAAGUUAAAAGGGUUUUUACAAACAAAAUUUAAUUAAAAGAGUUUCUGACCGACUCAUAUCUAGCGUUUUCUGUAUAUCUCCAGUAUCUAUGUUGUAAGUAUACUACGAGCACAUAGAUCUGGAACGUUAGCUACUUGGACACUUGUCAGUCCCAGGACCAUUAUUUAUAUACUAACAUUUGGCUAUUCUCCCGGACUUGAUUAUUGAAUCUUACUAAUGUUUGUUUACUUGGCACAAUAAUGGUGAUUUUUGUUACUUGUUAGUGGUCUUUUGCCCGUAUCUAUCUCUAAACCACUAUUGUUUAUAUUACUGUAUGCUGAUACAUAUAUAAGUAAAAGCUAUUUUGAUGUUCUUUAGUAUAUUUAUUGUAAAUAUAUUUGUCAAUAGUA